rnacentral:rRNA from 1 species
UUCCGGUUGAUCCUGCCGAAGGCUACUGCUAUUGGAGUUCGAUUAAGCCAUGCGAGUCUAAGGGAUCUUCGGAUCCCUGGCGUAAUGCUCAGUAACACGUGGAUAAUCUACCCUCAGGUGGGGCAUAAACCCGGGAAACUGGGGCCAAUUCCCCAUAAAUACAGAUGGCUGGAAUGCUUCUGUAUUCAAAGCUCCGGCGCCUGAGGAUGAGUCUGCGGCCUAUCAGGUUGUAGUCAGGGUCAUGACCUGACUAGCCAGCGACGGGUAUGGGGUGUGAGAGCACUUGCCCAGAGAUGGUUUCUGAGACACGAAACCAGGCCCUACGGGGCGCAGCAGGCGCGAAAACUUCGCAAUGCGGGAAACCGUGACGAGGGAACUCCAAGUGUCUAUGCAUUGCAUAGACUGUUUUUUAGCCUAAAUAGCUAUUAGAGUAAGGGGUGGGUAAGACCGGUGCCAGCCGCCGCGGUAACACCGGCACCCCGAGUGGUAGCCACUAUUAUUGGGCCUAAAGCGUUCGUAGCCGGUUUGGUAAAUUCUUGGGUAAAUCGUACCGCUUAACGGUGCGGAUUCCGGGGACACUACCAGACUUGAGACCGGGGGAGAUCAGAGGUACUUGCGGGGGAGCGGUGAAAUGUUGUAAUCCCGCAGGGACCACCAGUGGCGAAGGCGUCUGAUCAGAACGGCUCUGACGGUGAGGAACGAAACCCUGGGGCGCAAACGGGAUUAGAUACCCCGGUAGUCCAGGGCGUAAACGCUGCUGACUU